GCGAGUAUGGCGGAAUUGGUAGACGCACCAGAUUUAGGUUCUGGCGGAGUAAUCCGUGAGGGUUCGAGUCCCUCUUCUCGCA
rnacentral:tRNA from 1 species